rnacentral:lncRNA from 1 species
GCUUCAAGCCUGACGUUCUAGGGGGGAGCCGCUUCUUAAGUACGUGCUAGGAUCAAGGGUGCAUUUGCAAACUUUUCAAAAUGCCUUAGAGGAGGCCUAACCAGCCCCAGGGUGUCUGAGGCACGCUGGCCACAGGACACUUGCUCUCUCUUUCUUGUGACCCCAACAUGUCAGCUGGCAAGACUCAACAUUCCUGUCUGGGACUGAGCAGCUUGAACCACUUGUAUGAGUCACAGGAAAGGAGAAUCAUACCCCCAUUCCACCACCCCACUCCAACCCCUCCACUGUGGCUCCAAUGUUACAGACCACUCCUAACUUCAGUCCCGGAAGAAUGGAAGGAAGGCUGCAACUUAAGAGACUGCGGUUAGAAGUGAUCUUCAUAAAUUGUUUGCCUUGCCUGUGUCUAGAGUCCUUAAGGGAGUGGGGGAUCCGGGGGAGACGAAGGUGAAGGAGCUGCGGGGCUAGUUCUGAGCCGGGAAAAGGCCAGCUGGCCCGGCCGCCGCGGCCUCUUCCGCCCGGCGCCCGCGCAUUCCUGCCAUUCCCCCGAGUCGGCCCGCGGGCUACGGCCGCCUGCGGAGCGCAGGAACCUUCACCUCCCGAGGACAGGCGCCUUCCCCUCGGGACCCGGCUCCCCUGCUGCCUGCGCCGCUCUGUCCCCCUGCCGCUGCCCAAGCCUCCAGCAGGGGCCACCGAGGGCUCCAGGAGCACCCCAGGCCCGUUCUUCUGGCCCACAGCGCCCCUCCUGUGACCCUCAGCGACCCUCCUGUCCUGCCCUCCGGCGGCGCGGCUGUCUGGAGACUCUGCACCGUCGCGGCCUCGCAGCCUCGCAGCCCCGCGCCGGGUGGGGAGGGGAGGGUGGCGUUCCUGAGUCCGCGGAGGAAAGGGUCGCAGCUGCAGUCGCGCCAGCCCUCGGGCCUACAUCCGCUCCGCCGCGACGCGGCUCACAAACUAGGGAGGGGAGAAGGGAAGAAAGACCCGAUUCGGGAACACGGCUUUGUCCCUGGAACUGUACCUCAUGUCCCCUCACUUAAUCCUCCCAAGACCUGUGGGGCGUGUCGUCAUUUUAGGGCUGGAGAUGAGGAAACCGAGGCUCGGAGAGAUGAAGCGUUGUACGGCCACCGAGCGGCUGCUUUGCAACGAAGCCAAAGCCAACGUUUUGUUCUUAGCGGCGGUCGUUUGAGCCACGCCUCACCGCAACGAGUCUGCCAUCAGCCAAGAGGUGGAGUGAAGGUACCUGAGCGCAGGAACCAUGGUCUUCAUUGCUGCCUCAGCAUUAGCGGAAGUGCCACGGGCCGGCUCCCAGGGGGCCAGAGUUUCCCAGGAACACCAUUGAGUACCACUGAACUAGAGUCUGCAAGUUAAAGUAAGGCAAGAAGGAAAACCGGAAACAACUGUAAAAACCUGACCUUUCGUCACCUUAAUACUGGCCAUCAUUUAUCGAGUGCUUAUUAUGUAACAGACAUUGUUCUCAGUGUGUGAGUGCAGUGUUCCUCAAACCUAAAUGUGGGCCUGAAUCGCAGCGGAUCUUGGUAAAAUGCAGUUUCUCAUUCAGUACCUCUGGGGUGCGGCCUGAGAUUCUGCAUUUCCAACAAGCUCCCAGGAUACUUUGUAUAGAAAGGCUUUGGUGUAUUAACUAACUCGAUCUUCUUAAUAAUCCUAUGAAAUACUACUGCUAUUCCCAUUUUACAGAUGAGGAAACAGAGGUUAAGCAUAUAUGAACUUACAUCAAAAUAAAUAGACUGCAGGGCAAGGAGGGAGGGGAGAAUAGUGUGGGCAGUGUACAGUGCAGAAACAAAGUUCUAGGCAGAGGAAAAAGGAUUUACAGAAAGCCUGGCAUACAGGGCAGGGGGACGGGGCCUGCACACGGGGCUGUUUCACCGUUAGACGUUAUAAGCACAGUACUUGGGGCUAUGGGCUUCCUGAAGGUCCCAAGUAUUUGAGACCUGAAAAAAAUUUAUUGACACCUACAUAGGAAAAGUGAACUUUUAAAUUAAUAAUUCCAAAAUUCAAAUCACGAAUUGUUUCAAAAAUUUUACAUGAUAGAAUUCAUAUUUAGUAAGCGAUACGGGUAUAUUUUAAUGCAUUUGAUUUUAAAAACGGGGUAGGGCCUACUAAGAACAGGCCAAGCCCUGGCCCCAGUGGGUUUGGAUAUAAUCCUGAGGGCAGCUGGGAACCACUGAGAGAAGCAGGAGAAUGUUCUCUGUGGCUACAGUGAGGAGAAUGGAUUGGAGGGAGGCCAGACUGGAGGCCCAGUGGCUAGAGACCAGAUAGGCAGUUACAGUCUUCCAGACUGCGAGACAAUCUCUCUUUAGUGCCAAGAUUAGCAUAAAAUCAUAGCAUUAUAUAACCCAAUUAUUCUUUGAUUCCUGCAUCCCCAAUCUGACUCAGCAUUCUAAAUUUACUUAAGAUCUGGGGACAAGGGUUUUUGGCAAAUCCUUGAAGGCAAAUGAUGUUACAGUCAAUCAGUAUAUGCCUUGAGCCAGACAGACAUGGGUACGGGCCUCAGUUCUGCUGCUUGCUAGCUAUGUGACUUUGCACAAGUGAUUUAACUUCUCUGGGCCUUGGAUUCCUUACUGGUAACACGAGCAUAAUCGAUUCCUCACAGAAUUAAGUGAGAAAACUAUGUAUGUAGGACUUCUUAUGGAGUGGGUACUUAGAAAUAAAUGGUAGCCGUUAUCAUUUAUGUGCCUUUGUUCUGAAAUCUGCUUAAGUUUUCUCUAGGAAGUAACAGAGGGUAGAAUAAAUUAUUUAGUAUUUUCAUCAAUCUUCUGAGAUAAAAAUUAUUAUCCUCAUUUUGCAGAUAAGGAAAAGGGCUCAGAGAUUAGAUCACAGCUCUGUGAAGUAGGGGCACAAAGUGGUCAACCUGGAAGAGCUGGACUUUAUUUUGCUUGCACUUCUGUCCAUGCACUCUCUCCAGCAGUUGACAUUUGCCCUCUUUGAUGGCUCCACGACCAAUUUCCCUUAGUCAUGGCAUGAGUCAGCUGUGAGGGCUGAUGGCACACCACCGAAUACUCUGCUGUGGCGCCACUAGCCUCCAUUUACCUUCUUCUCCAACGUUUUCCAGCCUCCCUCAUACCUUGCCCCCCAGUUUUAUAGCUUCUGGAUUUUCCUUAUUAAAGAGCUUGUUUCUGAGACUCAGAGAGAACUUACUUGAAGGUCGAUGUUUUCUCUUGCUGAUUCCAUCUCGCUGCCCUCAAGUCCCUUCACACGCACCGGGUGCCGGGAACAGACUGCGUGGGCUCCUCCAGGCUCCGCCGUCUGAGUCUCUGCUGCUUUCUUCGGGUGGGAGAGAGCACACAGCUGGCGGGACAGACCUGCCAUUCAUCCCUCUGAUGUGGGAUGCCCGUCUUGGCUGCAGCCUCUGGGGGAGGUGUGCACCUGCACACACGUGUGAGUGUAUGUGUGUGCACAUGUGUGUGCUCCAGGAGGUGGCACAUGGCACACUGAUAGGUGACCUUUUGAGUUGGUAGUGACAGCAUCAUUUUCACCAGUGGCUCCAGUGACCUUCCAGUCCCAGCGGAGCCAUCUGA